UACGAGGGGGGCGAGCGUUGUUCGGAAUUAUUGGGCGUAAAGGGUGCGUAGGCGGUUUGGUAAGUCUCUUGUGAAAUCUAUGGGCUCAACUCAUAGUCUGCAAGGGAAACUGCCGGGCUUGAGUGUGGGAGAGGUGAGUGGAAUUUCCGGUGUAGCGGUGAAAUGCGUAGAUAUUGGGAGGAACACCGGUGGCGAAGGCGGCCUGCUGGGCAGUUGCUGACACUGAGGCGCGACAGCGUGGGGAGCAA
rnacentral:rRNA from 1 species